CAGUUACGAAUAGGAAUCGCAGGUGCUGUGCUGUCGCUGGGGGCUCCGACUUUCAUCCUGUUCUGGAAAUACAGGAAUGCAGCUUCCCAGCAGAGAAGGACUCAGCCCAAGCAGCUCCACGCUCUGAGUACCGAGAGCGGCUUUGAGCUCACAGCCCGGGUGGUGGAAGGUGACGACUGAAGCCAGUGUCACAGACGCGCCGGAUUUGUGCUGCUUUCCUCAUUCUUCAUGCAUUUCCUUCAUCAGCAGCUAAUAUACUGCUUAAUGUGUAUAAAUAAAAAUGAACAUAAAUAUAAAAAUGCCCUAUAAAACUCCUACUGAAACUGCUGCAAGCCAUCAUAUAGGAAGUAUAUAUAAUUUGUAUUACUUUGUAUUAUCAUGUUGUCCUGUUUUAGUUAUUGUGCAAAAGUUGACGUGGCUCUGAACCAGUAUGUAGCGCUGGGAGGGUGCAUGUCCCAGCAUGUCCCAGCAUGCCCUGCAUCCAAUUGCAAAUGGCCCUUGUUGUACUGUUGUUGUUGUUAAUGGUUGCUUUUCCCUAUUGUCACACGUGUUUGCCCGUGUCUUGUGUGUACCCUGUAUGACCCUCGCGUGUUCUUAGCCUGUAUAACUCUCCCACUGUGUUUGCACCUUACAGUUCGGCGUCUGACACCCUUGUGUUUCCGCUCUGUGUAUUUGGUUCGGUGCCCAUUGGGUGCCUGUUAUAAUCCUGUUAAGGGCUGCUAUUAAAGAGCAAGUCUCCUUGUCCUUCUCUGCUCUCACAAUGCCUUGGUCCGCUUUGGACAAGUAUACGGCAAUAAAGCUUGAAACUUGAAACUUG